rnacentral:tRNA from 1 species
GGUGUGGUAGCUCAGCCGGUCAGAGCGCCUGACUCAUAAUCGGGAGGUCGCAGGUUCAAUCCCCGCUCACACCA